GGAUGGUUGCCAGCAAUGGUGAUCGUCUUCUACCGAUGAGGCCGUCGAGCGGUGCAGCGUUACAAACCGCAAUGUUUAGUGGAGCCAUUGGUGUUAGUUGGCAACAACUGGCGCCCUCAGCCUAGCAUGCAAGUUCCAUUGACUUGGACUAAUUGCAAAUGACCUACCUGUUUGGGGCAACUUGGACGGGUUUGGUUGAGCCAGAGCGGGUGUAAGCCCCAUACCGUGCAGGCAUUGGUUACACGAAUUGUGGCAUGGCCCCCUAAAAAGGGUCAGAUUGUUAGAGUCGAGUUGCUUGAGAGUGCAACUUAAAGUGCGAGGUAAACUACUCGUAAGGCUACCUAAUACGGCUACGACACCGAUAGCAAACAAGUACCGUGAGGGAAAGUUGAAAUAGAACUUUGCAGAGAGAGUUAACAGGGCGUGAAACCGUUAAUUGGCAAACGAAUCGGAGCCACGAAGUCGUUUCGUUGUUUAGUCUGGAUCAGGUUCAGCGGGUGAUCGCGAGGUUCCCGUGUAUUCCUGGGUCUGGCCAAGCAUUGUAAGCGUACACUGCAACCAGUUAGACGAUCAGUAGUGGGUCGAGUGUUGUGAGUGGCGAGCAAUCGUCGCGAGCUUCACGAACAAAUUGUCCAUCUUGGUUAGUAGUAGCGCGGUUGUGCUUCGGCAUAAUUCGUGUUGCUGGACCAUAGUGGGUGAACUACAACUGAAUACUGACUGGCGAAAUGAAAAUCGCUUCCCUAUGGGAGCGUUAGAGACAAAGCUGCUGGCACCAUAUAAACCUACACGCUCGACUGUUAAGUCUAAGCUUGGCGUCUUCGAAUUCAGACUUGCUUGCUACCAGUGGGGCAACUCCUGGUGCUUGUAUAGCUUCUGUCUAAUCAGGCGUCGACUUGGCCUAGCAUCGUUCGGGUGUGCUACGAUUGGGCUUGUAUGUUAGCUGGUAAGCAAUGUGAAUUGGCAGUGAGUAGGUCGGCUUUCCGAACGACCCGUCUUGAAACACGGACCAAGGAGUCUAAUUAGGCAUCGAGUCGAUCGGUCUUGAAUAGGCCAGACAGGCUGCCCUCGGGCGGUCGAUCGAAGGCGUAGAGAAAUCAAAUCGUGUGAUCACACUGGCAACAACAGCCAGGGUGCGCAACAUGUGCCUGUUCGUAUAGCAAUGUAGCAAUACUUGCUGAGCGGAGCAAAGAGAUGCUUGAUUGGGACCCGAAAGAUGGUGAACUAUGCUUGGGCAAAUUGAAGCCAGAGGAAACUCUGGUGGAGGAUUGUAGCGAUUCUGACGUGCAAAUCGAUCGUCAGACCUGAGUAUAGGGGCGAAAGACUAAUCGAACCAUCUAGUAGCUGGUUCCCUCCGAAGUUUCCCUCAGGAUAGCUAGCGCUCGUUUGUGAACAGUUUCAUCUGGUAAAGCUAAUGAUUAGAGGAAUUGGGAGCGAAACGCUCUCAACCUAUUCUCAAACUUUAAAUGGGUGAGAUGUACGACAUGCUUAAGUGAUGCCGUAUGUUAUGCGAAUGUAUUGGGCGCUAAGUGGGCCAUUUUUGGUAAGCAGAACUGGCGAUGCGGGAUGAACCGAAAGCAAAGUUAAAGUUGCCGAUAAUAGUGGUGAAAAGUAGCCACUCGCUACACUCAUGAGAUCCCAUAAAAGGUGUGACCCGCUGAAGACAGCAAGGAUGUGGCCAUGGAAGUCGGAAUCAUCUAAGGAGUGUGUAACAACUCACUUGCCGAAGCGCGUCGCCCUGAAAAUGGAAGCAGCUCGAGUGUUGAACUUAUACUUUGCCGUUGGGGCAUAGUUUUGAUCAUUAAAAACAAUAUGUAGGCCCCAACGUGUAGGAGGGUUGUGUCGGUGGCGUUGAAGGCUAUGAGGGAGUGAUCCUGGCUGGAGCCGCCGAUAGUACAGAUCUUGGUGGUAGUAGCAAAUACUCAAGUGAGACCCUUGAGGGCCAAUGUGGAGAAGGGUUCCAUGCUAACAGCAAUUGAACAUGGGUCAGUCGGUCCUAAGAGAAUGGCGAAAGCUAUUUCUGAAUCAAAGGCGGUGUAGGCAGAGGAAAAACUUAGUUGUUGAAUCCAAACUUACAAUACCACCGCAUGACUCGAAAGGGAAUAAGGUUAAUAUUCCUUAACCAAGAUGGGGAGAUUACCGCUAGAUUGUGCUUCGGUAUGGUCUAGAUGGUAUUGGCGGUAACGCAAACAAGCGCGUCGACGCCGUCGGCAGAAUGGGGAAGAGUUGUCUUUUCUUUCUAAGUUUACUUAGUUUCUAACGAGUCCCUGGAAUCGAUUCACUCGAAGAUAGGCGAUGUAGUAAACGUAAAAUCAUACGGUUCUAGUAUGAUCCCAAUUUCUGUUGACGGCCCUUGAAAAGACGCGUAAGCGGAGCUUGUUGGAUCCUUCACGGGAUUGCAAUGAGCGUUGAUUCUCUCACUUGGCCGUACCAAUAUCCGCAUCAGGUCUCCAAGGUUAGCAGCCUCUGGUCACUUAGGAUAAUGUAGGUAAGGGAAGUCGGCAAAUUAGUUCCGUAACUUAGGGAAAAGGAAUGGCUCUGAGGGCUGAGUUGAUCGGGCCGUAUUGUUCGGGCCUGGUUGUGAGCUCUGUUUGUGCUGACUCGGCGGCGACGGGGCGCAAGUCCUUUAGCUGCCUUGACGGCGUGAAUGGCUCUGCUAGGUUCAGCUGCGGCUGCCCUCAAGUUUGGUUAGAUGUAACAGUUUGGCUGGCUUGGCUCAAGGGUUAUCGGUCAACAAUUAACAGCCGAAUCAGAACUGGCACGGACUCCGGGAAUCCGACUGUCUAAUUAAAACAAAGCAAGCUGAUGGCCGUCAUCGGUGUUGACAGCUUGUGAUUUCUGCCCAGUGCUUUGAAUGUUAUCGGUUUGAGAUGACCGUAAGCGCAAGUAAACGGCGGGAGUAACUAUGACUCUCUUCUGGUAGCCAAAUGCCUCGUCAUCUAAUUAGUGACGCGCAUGAAUGGAUUAACGAGAUUCCCACUGUCCCUAUCUACUACCUAGCGAAACCACAGCCAAGGGAACGGGCUUGGCAAAAUCAGCGGGGAAAGAAGACCCUGUUGAGCUUGACUCU
rnacentral:rRNA from 1 species